CCUACGGGUGGCAGCAGUGGGGAAUAUUGGACAAUGGGGGGAACCCUGAUCCAGCCAUGCCGCGUGUGUGAAGAAGGCCCUCGGGUUGUAAAGCACUUUCAGUGAGGAAGAACGCCUGGUGGUUAAUACCCAUCAGGAAAGACAUCACUCACAGAAGAAGCACCGGCUAACUCCGUGCCAGCAGCCGCGGUAAUACGGAGGGUGCGAGCGUUAAUCGGAAUUACUGGGCGUAAAGCGCGCGUAGGUGGCUUGAUAAGCCGGUUGUGAAAGCCCCGGGCUCAACCUGGGAACGGCAUCCGGAACUGUCAAGCUAGAGUGCAGGAGAGGAAGGUAGAAUUCCCGGUGUAGCGGUGAAAUGCGUAGAGAUCGGGAGGAAUACCAGUGGCGAAGGCGGUCUUCUGGACUGACACUGACACUGAGGUGCGAAAGCGUGGGUAGCAAACAGGAUUAGAUACCCGAGUAGUC
rnacentral:rRNA from 1 species